AGUGCCGGUUGUACAUACACUGGCGCACGGCGCACGGGUGCGUACACGUGGGUAAUUUGCCCUCUGAUGGGGAAUAACUCGCCGAAAGGCGAGCUAAUACCGCAUAACAUUCCGGGAACUCCGGUUUCUGGAUUCAAAGGCGUAAGUCGUCGGAGGAGGAGCCCGCGCACGAUUAGCUAGUUGGUAGGGUAACGGCCUACCAAGGCUAUGAUCGUUAGCUGGUCUGAGAGGAUGGCCAGCCACACUGGAACUGAGACACGGUCCAGACUCCUACGGGAGGCAGCAGUGGGGAAUCUUGCACAAUGGGCGAAAGCCUGAUGCAGCGACGCCGCGUGGGGGAUGAAGCUUCUCGGAGUGUAAACCCCCUUCGACCCGGACGAAUGCCCCGCAAGGGGACUGACGGUACGGGUAUAAGAAGCCCCGGCUAACUACGUGCCAGCAGCCGCGGUAAG
rnacentral:rRNA from 1 species